ACAGAGGUGCCAAGCGUUAGGCGGAAUCACUGGGCUUAAAGCGUGUGUAGGCGGAUGUCUAAGUACCUUGUGAAAUCCCACGGCUCAACCGUGGAACUGCUUGGUAUACUGGAUGUCUUGAGCCAUCUAGGGGCUACCGGAACAAAUGGUGGAGCGGUGAAAUGCGUAGAUAUCAUUUGGAACGCCAAUGGUGAAAACAGGUAGCUGGGGAUGUGCUGACGCUGAGACACGAAAGCCAGGGGAGCGAACGGGA
rnacentral:rRNA from 1 species